UUCGAGUGGCGGACGGGUGAGUAACGCGUGGGUAACCCGCCUUACACAGGGGGAUAACACCUGGAGACAGGUGCUAAUACCGCAUAAGCGCACAGGGCCGCAUGGCCCGGUGUGAAAAACUCCGGUGGUGUAAGAUGGACCCGCGUCUGAUUAGCUUGUUGGCGGGGUAGGGGCCCACCAAGGCGACGAUCAGUAGCCGGCCUGAGAGGGUGGACGGCCACAUUGGGACUGAGACACGGCCCAAACUCCUACGGAAGGCAGCAG
rnacentral:rRNA from 1 species